AAAAAAGCAAACCCUGGGUUUCCGUGUCCAACUUUGACUGUUCGUCUUAUAUGAAAAUUUUUUAUAAUUCGUAUUUUCAUUAUUGUUAGAAAAUAAAAUAUGAUUAAUAUUUUAUGCAUGACUUGUCUUUUUAAUUUUUUUCAUAUUUUUUUCAUACAAGAUGGACGGUCAAACGUUGGGCACGGAAAUCAGGGUUUAUCUUUUU
rfam:Oryza nivara chromosome 1, whole genome shotgun sequence.